GAUGAACGCUGGCGGCGUGCCUAAUACAUGCAAGUCGAACGCUUCACUUCGGUGAAGAGUGGCGAACGGGUGAGUAAUACAUAAGUAACCUGGCAUCUACAGGGGGAUAACUGAUGGAAACGUCAGCUAAGACCGCAUAGGUGUAGAGAUCGCAUGAACUCUAUAUGAAAAGUGCUACGGGACUGGUAGAUGAUGGACUUAUGGCGCAUUAGCUUGUUGGUAGGGUAACGGCCUACCAAGGCGACGAUGCGUAGCCGACCUGAGAGGGUGACCGGCCACACUGGGACUGAGACACGGCCCAGACUCCUACGGGAGGCAGCAGUAGGGAAUUUUCGGCAAUGGGGGGAACCCUGACCGAGCAACGCCGCGUGAAGGAAGAAGUAAUUCGUUAUGUAAACUUCUGUCAUAGAGGAAGAACGGUGGAUAUAGGGAAUGAUAUCCAAGUGACGGUACUCUAUAAGAAAGCCACGGCUAACUACGUG
rnacentral:rRNA from 1 species